UACGUAGGGGGCAAGCGUUGUCCGGAUUUAUUGGGCGUAAAGAGCGUGUAGGCGGCCAUACAGGUCAGCUGUGAAAACUCGAGGCUCAACCUCGAGACGUCGGUUGAAACCGUAUGGCUAGAGUCCGGAAGAGGAGAGUGGAAUUCCCGGUGUAGCGGUGAAAUGCGCAGAUAGUCAGGAAGAACACCCGUGGCUAAGGCGGCUCUCUAGUACGUGACUGACGCUGAGACGCGAAAGCGUGGGGAGCGAACAGG
rnacentral:rRNA from 1 species